GAGGGGGGUGCUAAUACAUGCAAGUCGAGCGAAUGGAUUAAGAGCUUGCUCUUAUGAAGUUAGCGGCGGACGGGUGAGUAACACGUGGGUAACCUGCCCAUAAGACUGGGAUAACUCCGGGAAACCGGGGCUAAUACCGGAUAACAUUUUGAACCGCAUGGUUCGAAAUUGAAAGGCGGCUUCGGCUGUCACUUAUGGAUGGACCCGCGUCGCAUUAGCUAGUUGGUGAGGUAACGGCUCACCAAGGCAACGAUGCGUAGCCGACCUGAGAGGGUGAUCGGCCACACUGGGACUGAGACACGGCCCAGACUCCUACGGGAGGCAGCAGUAGGGAAUCUUCCGCAAUGGACGAAAGUCUGACGGAGCAACGCCGCGUGAGUGAUGAAGGCUUUCGGGUCGUAAAACUCUGUUGUUAGGGAAGAACAAGUGCUAGUUGAAUAAGCUGGCACCUUGACGGUACCUAACCAGAAAGCCACGGCUAACUACGUGCCAGCAGCCGCGGUAAUACGUAGGUGGCAAGCGUUAUCCGGAAUUAUUGGGCGUAAAGCGCGCGCAGGUGGUUUCUUAAGUCUGAUGUGAAAGCCCACGGCUCAACCGUGGAGGGUCAUUGGAAACUGGGAGACUUGAGUGCAGAAGAGGAAAGUGGAAUUCCAUGUGUAGCGGUGAAAUGCGUAGAGAUAUGGAGGAACACCAGUGGCGAAGGCGACUUUCUGGUCUGUAACUGACACUGAGGCGCGAA
rnacentral:rRNA from 1 species